rnacentral:rRNA from 1 species
UACGUAGGGUGCAAGCGUUGUCCGGAAUUAUUGGGCGUAAAGAGCUCGUAGGCGGUCUGUCGCGUCGGCUGUGAAAUCCCGAGGCUCAACCUCGGGUCUGCAGUCGAUACGGGCAAAGCUAGAGUAUUGCAGGGGAGACUGGAAUUCCUGGUGAGCGGUGAAAUGCGCAGAUAUCAGGAGGAACACCGGUGGCGAAGGCGGGUCUCUGGGCAAUAACUGACGCUGAGGAGCGAAAGCGUGGGGAGCGAACAGG